AGCGAACGCUGGCGGCAGGCCUAACACAUGCAAGUCGAACGAACCUUUCGGGGUUAGUGGCGGACGGGUGAGUAACACGUGGGAACGUGCCUUUAGGUUCGGAAUAACUCAGGGAAACUUGUGCUAAUACCGAAUGUGCCCUUCGGGGGAAAGAUUAAUCGCCUUUAGAGCGGCCCGCGUCUGAUUAGCUAGUUGGUUGAGGUAAUGGCUCACCAAGGCGACGAUCAGUAGCUGGUCUGAGAGGAUGAUCAGCCACAUUGGGACUGAGACACGGCCCAAACUCCUACGGGAGGCAGCAGUGGGGAAUCUUGCGCAAUGGGCGAAAGCCUGACGCAGCCAUGCCGCGUGAAUGAUGAAGGUCUUAGGAUUGUAAAAUUCUUUCACCGGGGACGAUAAUGACGGUACCCGGAGAAGAAGCCCCGGCUAACUUUGUG
rnacentral:rRNA from 1 species